UUCGAACUUAAUUUACAUACAUCAAAGUUACUUCCCCAGGUGCGUGACCUUCAAAUACAUUCCUUACAAUACUUGAAUAGAUACCAAUACAACUAUAACCAUUAACUCAUAAUACACACUUAUUCGAUCAGCUUUCCUUUUUCCUUUGUUCGUGCCUGAGCCUUCAGGUUGCUCAUACAUAACUGAAAACAUUUAAUUUAAGCAAGGAUGAGCAUUUAAGUGCCCAGCAAGUAAUAACAAUUAUAUAUAAGCUGAAAGAAUAUAAGUAUUCUCUUUACAUAACACUUCUACAACGAAUUGAAAGUUGUGAAGUAAUCUGUACUGAUAAAAAAUUCACAUAACAACUCUCUUUCAAAUUCUUUAAAUUUGGCUCUGGCUCUACCCUUGAAUAGGGUUUAAGAAACAUACUAUGAACAUUCUUUUCAUUUUCGAAAAGGUUUAGCGGAAUUCUAUCCUCAAACCGUCAUAACUUACGGGCACGGAGGGUGAUCAGCCCCGUUGUACCCUGUAUUGAUCAAUACUACAUAACUUGAACGAAAUUCAUCGCUCACUCUAUCCGCCUUGCGCAAAAAUCUUCCCAUAUAGGGAUGUUCAUACAUGCCUGGUUCCAAACCCGAAGGUUUUUAAUCUUGCUCAACAAUAAUAUGUAAUUCAACAUAUAUAUACGGGUAAUUGACAAAGGUGUAUCAACAUGUGAACAAAUGCCAUGAUUAUCCAAGUGGGGACACUUGUAUAACCAUUUAUAGAAAUCAAUGAACAGAAUAUAUAUCUGAGCUAACAUGUCGAUAAUCAAAGAGUACAUAAUCUGUACAGGGAUAGAAUAAUUCUGAAACUUCUUACUCAUGUCCAUUGCAUAAAGGAAGUGCAAAGGUAGGAUACUUGCCUGAUUCGCUGAUUACAAAUCUCAACUUAGGUUUUAUCUCUUUAUCACAACCUAUCAAUAAUCAGAUCAUUCGUUCGAUUAGAACAAUAUAUCUUAACACAUAGUACUGUCUAUUACAGUCAGCACAUAGUCUAAUCACAUAAUCACAGUGAUCAUACUUUUAGUUCCUAUUCUAUACUUGAAAUAUUUUUAUACAUUUUUCAAAUAUCUCAUCCAUGCUCUUACAGUAGUCUUUUCUUUCUUUUAUAAGGUCUGACAUUUGUCGGCGUACCGACAGCUUUAUCGGGUAAAUACUGAGUCUAAGACUCUUAUUCUAUACCUCAACAUCUGUAAAUAUCAGACAUCUUAUUUUUAAUCAUUUUCGCAAUUUCCAGAAAUUGAAAAAUUUAAAAUAAUUCAAAUCUGUCACUAAAGGGCCUAUAGUGAUAUAACUGUUACUAUAGGUGUUCUUCUUCAAAUUCAGAACUUCAUAAUCGGUUCUCAAGUCAGCUAGUUUGGCCGGCUAUAACUUUCAAAUAUCGGAAUCAUAAUUAAAUGAUUUAAACAUUAAACAAUUCCAUUAUCAUUAAUAGUUUAAUUAAUACUAAACUAUUAAUGAAACCAUUGCCAAAAUAUAAAAGUUAUUUAUAAUAACUCAAACUAUUUUUAAAACAUUUAUAUUACCCAAAUAAUUACCAUUAAUAUUUAAAUAUUAAUGUACUAUUUAUCCAAAUAUUAAAAGUCAUUAAUUAUAACUUAAAAUAUUUUUAAAUCCUUAAUAUCCUCUUUAAAUGGUUUUUAAAUAAGUAAAACCAUUUUUAAACUAUUUAUUUAAUAUUAAUCAUUAAAUAAACUAAAUAUCAUUAAUAUUAUCUUAAUAUCAUUAAUAUUUAAUUAUUAAUGAAAUUAUCAUUUAAAUAUUAAAAGUUAUAUUUUAUAACUUAAAAUAUUUUUAAAUACCUUAUUUUCAUUUAAAAUGAUUUUUAUAAUAUUAAAAUCAUUUUUAAACUAAAUUAUUUAAUAUAAUCAUUAAAUAACUUUAAUAUCAUUAAUAAUUAUUAAUUAAUGAAAUUCAUCACAAAAUAUUAAAAGUCAUCACAAAUAACUCAUUUACAUAAUCAAUUCCAAGCCAAAAUAAACAUAGUAAACUAACUAGUUUAUUAACAACACUAACUAAACUUCAAAAAUUCAAACUUUAACUAACAAUUAAAAAUAAUAACAUUACAAAAAUUAAAUAAGAAACAUACCCGGAAAUACGAAUUCCACAGACUGAAUACGCACUUCCACGCCAAAAUUUAACUAAGGAGAUCUUUAUAAAAAGUUCUCCCACAACAAAGCCUUUCUCAAAAAUUGG
rnacentral:lncRNA from 1 species